UACGGGGGGGGCGAAGCGUUGCUCGGAAUUACUGGGCGUAAAGGGCUCGUAGGUGGCCAACUAAGUCAGACGUGAAAUCCCUCGGCUUAACCGGGGAACUGCGUCUGAUACUGGAUGGCUUGAGUUCGGGAGAGGGAUGCGGAAUUCCAGGUGUAGCGGUGAAAUGCGUAGAUAUCUGGAGGAACACCAAUGGCGAAGGCAGCUCGCUGGAACGGUACUGACGCUGAGGCGACGAAAGCGUGGGGAGCAAACAGGG
rnacentral:rRNA from 1 species